rnacentral:tRNA from 1 species
GACCGCGUAGUUCAGUUGGCAGAGCAUUGGGCUAGUAUUCCAAAGGUCGUAGGUUCGAAUCCCACCGUGGCCA